rnacentral:rRNA from 1 species
GGGGGGGGGGGGGGGGGGGGGUGGGGGGGGGGGGGCGGAGGGGGGUGGCCGGGGGGUUUCGGGGGGGGGGGGGAGUGGCGGACGGGGGAGUAACACGGGAGUAACCGGCCCCCUUAUUCGGGGUAAGGGUCUGAAAGGGCUGCUAAUACCGGGUAUUCACUGGUCUCCGCAUGGGGUGUGGGGGGAAGGUGUUUUUCUGGUGGGGGAUGGGCUCGCGGCCUAUCAGCUUGUUGGUGGGGUGAUGGCCCACCACGGCUUUGACGGGUAGACGGCCUGAGAGGGUGCCCGGUCACAUUGGGCCUGAGAUACGGCCCAGACUCCUACGGGAGGCAGCAGUGGGGAAUAUUGCACAAUGGGCGCAAGCCUGAUGCAGCGACGCCGCGUGAGGGAUGGAGGCCUUCGGGUUGUGAACCUCUUUCGCCCGUGGUCAAGCCGCGACGUGGGUCGUGGUGAGGGUAGUGGGUAAAGAAGCGCCGGCUAACUACGUG